GGGCUGGGGCUCAGCGGUAGAGCACUCACCUAGCACAUGCGAGAUGCUGGGUUCGAUCCUCAGCACUACA
rnacentral:tRNA from 1 species